UAAAUACUCCCUCCGUCCGAAAAUACUUGUCAUCAAAAUGAACAAAAAGAGAUGUAUCUAGAACUAAAAUACAUCUAGAUACACCCUCUUUUAUUCAUUUUGAUGACAAGUAUUUCCGGACGGAGGGAGUACAUU
rnacentral:pre_miRNA from 1 species